AGGACCUGCUGAACUUGAGGUCCUAUGGAGAACACUGAUGGCCCACCCCUGAAGGUGGCCCUGGUCUUCAUGCAUGCAUCAGCCUCAGCCAUCUCAAGAUCACAACGAGAACAUAGCCAAGUUAGAGAAGAAUGACCAAAAGCAUUGGGGUGCUUCGUAUUAUUAAGCUGCUAAAUUAACUAAUCUUGGGAAUUUCUAUACUCAACAAUUCUUGUUGUAUGGGAACUUCUGGCAACUAACCCUGGCAUGGCCACCAGAAUCUGCAGGGUUGAGAGAGGGAAAGAAAGGCAAAAGUGGAUGAAUGUAGCUGAAGAUGUUAUGUAACUCCUAUCACAUUCCAAGUGCUAUGUUGAUAUCUGGAGGUAUAGACAAGAUUGAAGCAGAUGCAGAGUCUUACACAUGAAUAUUUGAAUUAGGAAAUAUGUUCCCCAAAUUAGCAAAGCAUCUCGCAGACUCUUUCCUUGAUGAUAUAUUUGAAAUCCUAAUGCUGCAAGUUAAAUUAUCAGGGAUUUAAAACUAGAAGAAGUCAUUAUCACAAUUUUAUAUACUAUUUAAUUUUAAGCACAAAAUUUGACUGUUUAAGUCUUAUUAUAAUUUUAAGCAAAGUACUUUGGGUAGUCAUAAAAAAAGUAACGGGCAGGUAUUUAGU